rnacentral:rRNA from 1 species
UACGGAGGGAGCUAGCGUUGUUCGGAAUUACUGGGCGUAAAGCGCGCGUAGGCGGCUUUGUAAGUUAGAGGUGAAAAGCCCGGAGCUCAACUCCGGAACUGCCUUUAAAAACUGCAUCGCUUGAAUCCAGGAGAGGUGAGUGGAAUUCCGAGUGUAGAGGUGAAAUUCGUAGAUAUUCGGAAGAACACCAGUGGCGAAGGCG